UGGGGAAUUUUGGACAAUGGGGGAAACCCUGAUCCAGCCAUCCCGCGUGUGCGAUGAAGGCCUUCGGGUUGUAAAGCACUUUUGGCAGGAAAGAAACGUCGCGGGUUAAUACCCCGCGAAACUGACGGUACCUGCAGAAUAAGCACCGGCUAACUACGUGCCAGCAGCCGCGGUAAUACGUAGGGUGCAAGCGUUAAUCGGAAUUACUGGGCGUAAAGCGUGCGCAGGCGGUUCGGAAAGAAAGAUGUGAAAUCCCAGAGCUUAACUUUGGAACUGCAUUUUUAACUACCGGGCUAGAGUGUGUCAGAGGGAGGUGGAAUUCCGCGUGUAGCAGUGAAAUGCGUAGAUAUGCGGAGGAACACCGAUGGCGAAGGCAGCCUCCUGGGAUAACACUGACGCUCAUGCACGAAAAGCGUGGGGAGCAAACAGGAUUAGAUACCCUGGUAGUCCACGCCCUAAAACGAUGUCAACUAGCUGUUGGGGCCUUCGGGCCUUGGUAGCGCAGCUAACGCGUGAAGUUGACCGCCUGGGGAGUACGGUCGCAAGAUUAAAACUCAAAGGAAUUGACGGGGUCAUAGCUGUUUCCU
rnacentral:rRNA from 1 species